rnacentral:rRNA from 1 species
GGAAAGUCGCACGGUACAGGGUGAUAGUCCCGUACACAAAAAUGCAUAUGUUGUGAGUUCGAUGAGUAGGGCGGGACACGUGACAUCCUGUCUGAAUAUGGGGGGACCAUCCUCCAAGGCUAAAUACUCCUGACUGACCGAUAGUGAACCAGUACCGUGAGGGAAAGGCGAAAAGAACCCCGGCGAGGGGAGUGAAAUAGAACCUGAAACCGUGUACGUACAAGCAGUGGGAGCACCUUCGUGGUGUGACUGCGUACCUUUUGUAUAAUGGGUCAGCGACUUAUAUUUUGUAGCAAGGUUAACCGAAUAGGGGAGCCGUAGGGAAACCGAGUCUUAACUGGGCGAAUAGUUGCAAGGUAUAGACCCGAAACCCGGUGAUCUAGCCAUGGGCAGGUUGAAGGUUGGGUAACACUAACUGGAGGACCGAACCGACUAAUGUUGAAAAAUUAGCGGAUGACUUGUGGCUGGGGGUGAAAGGCCAAUCAAACCGGGAGAUAGCUGGUUCUCCCCGAAAGCUAUUUAGGUAGCGCCUCGUGAACUCAUCUUCGGGGGUAGAGCACUGUUUCGGCUAGGGGGUCAUCCCGACUUACCAAACCGAUGCAAACUCCGAAUACCGAAGAAUGUUAUCACGGGAGACACACGGCGGGUGCUAACGUCCGUCGUGAAGAGGGAAACAACCCAGACCGCCAGCUAAGGUCCCAAAGUCAUGGUUAAGUGGGAAACGAUGUGGGAAGGCAUAGACAGCCAGGAUGUUGGCUUAGAAGCAGCCAUCAUUUAAAGAAAGCGUAAUAGCUCACUGGUCGAGUCGGCCUGCGCGGAAGAUGUAACGGGGCUAAACCAUGCACCGAAGCUGCGGCAGCGACACUUAGGUGUUGUUGGGUAGGGGAGCGUUCUGUAAGCCGUUGAAGGUGACCUGUGAGGGUUGCUGGAGGUAUCAGAAGUGCGAAUGCUGACAUAAGUAACGAUAAUGCGGGUGAAAAACCCGCACGCCGGAAGACCAAGGGUUCCUGUCCAACGUUAAUCGGGGCAGGGUGAGUCGACCCCUAAGGCGAGGCUGAAAAGCGUAGUCGAUGGGAAACAGGUUAAUAUUCCUGUACUUGGUGUUACUGCGAAGGGGGGACGGAGAAGGCUAGGCUAGCCGGGCGACGGUUGUCCCGGUUUAAGCAUGUAGGCGGAGUGACUUGGUAAAUCCGGUUGCUUAUCAACGCUGAGGUGUGAUGACGAGUCACUACGGUGAUGAAGUAGUUGAUGCCAAGCUUCCAGGAAAAGCCUCUAAGCAUCAGGUAACAUUAAAUCGUACCCCAAACCGACACAGGUGGUCAGGUAGAGAAUACUCAGGCGCUUGAGAGAACUCGGGUGAAGGAACUAGGCAAAAUGGUGCCGUAACUUCGGGAGAAGGCACGCUGGCAUUAGGUAAAGAGACUUGCUCUCGGCGCCGAAGCCAGUCGCAGAUACCAGCUGGCUGCAACUGUUUAAUAAAAACACAGCACUGUGCAAACACGAAAGUGGACGUAUACGGUGUGACGCCUGCCCGGUGCUGGAAGGUUAAUUGAUGGGGUCAGCCGCAAGGCGAAGCUCUUGAUCGAAGCCCCAGUAAACGGCGGCCGUAACUAUAACGGUCCUAAGGUAGCGAAAUUCCUUGUCGGGUAAGUUCCGACCUGCACGAAUGGCGUAAUGAUGGCCAGGCUGUCUCCACCCGAGACUCAGUGAAAUUGAACUCGCUGUGAAGAUGCAGUGUACCCGCGGCAAGACGGAAAGACCCCGUGAACCUUUACUAUAGCUUGACACUGAACAUUGAGCCUUGAUGUGUAGGAUAGGUGGGAGGCAUUGAAGUGUGGACGCCAGUCUGCAUGGAGCCAACCUUGAAAUACCACCCUUUAAUGUUUGAUGUUCUAACUCGGCCCCAUAAUCUGGGGUGAGGACAGUGUCUGGUGGGUAGUUUGACUGGGGCGGUCUCCUCCCAAAGAGUAACGGAGGAGCACGAAGGUUAGCUAAUCACGGUCGGACAUCGUGAGGUUAGUGCAAAGGCAUAAGCUAGCUUGACUGCGAGAGUGACGGCUCGAGCAGGUACGAAAGUAGGUCUUAGUGAUCCGGUGGUUCUGAAUGGAAGGGCCAUCGCUCAACGGAUAAAAGGUACUCCGGGGAUAACAGGCUGAUACCGCCCAAGAGUUCAUAUCGACGGCGGUGUUUGGCACCUCGAUGUCGGCUCAUCACAUCCUGGGGCUGAAGUAGGUCCCAAGGGUAUGGCUGUUCGCCAUUUAAAGUGGUACGCGAGCUGGGUUUAGAACGUCGUGAGACAGUUCGGUCCCUAUCUGCCGUGGGCGUUGGAAGAUUGAGAGGGGCUGCUCCUAGUACGAGAGGACCGGAGUGGACGAAUCACUGGUGUUCGGGUUGUCAUGCCAAUGGCAUUGCCCGGUAGCUAAAUUCGGAAGAGAUAACCGCUGAAAGCAUCUAAGCGGGAAACUUGCCUCGAGAUGAGUCUUCCCUGGGGCUUUAAGCCCCCUGAAGGAACGUUAAAGACUAUGACGUUGAUAGGCUGGGUGUGUAAGUGCAGCGAUGCAUUGAGCUAACCAGUACUAAUGAUCCGUGAGGCUUAACCU